AGUGCCGAAUUGUGGUCUGUAGAAGUUUGUGUUUGGCCGGCCGGGUUAAGUCCCUUGGAAAAGGGCAGCAGAGAGGGUGAGACUCCCGUUCUUGCCUGGGUUUGGCCAUUUGACACUUACUUUCAACGAGUCGAGUUGUUUGGGAUUGCAGCUCAAAGUGGGUGGUAAAUUCCAUCUAAAGCUAAAUAUGGGUGGGAGACCGAUAGCGUACAAGUACCGUGAGGGAAAGAUGCAAAGAACUUUGAAA
rnacentral:rRNA from 1 species